GGGUGCGAUUCACUAAGGCAAAACAUCUUUACAACCAAGAAAUCAUCGUUGUAACAUCAGAUGAAAACUCGGCGGUAUUCAUUAGUUAAAAUUGCGCGAUCGUAGCGCCUCAACGAUGUUGACGGCGUGACAUAGAACUAACAUUUGGUGCCAAAUGUAUGAAAAUCGGUAUUCAGCAACACGAAACAUCCUCGCCUGCAACGACAACCUCGCCUUCGCCUUCGAUUUUAUCUGUCAAACCGAAAAGCUUGUAAAUUGUGGAUGUUUUCUUGGAUGAAGGCGAUUGAAAUAUGGCAGUUCGUCUUUCCUGUAUGAUUUUUCGUUGGAAGAAACUAAACAUCAUGAUAAUUAAAUAAAUAAGAAGUCAGGCCUCCGUGAUACGUAUUAUGGAUUUACUAACACUAACUACUGAUAGAAACUAUAAUAAGAUUGACUGAAGAACAGAUUCGACAGUUGAAAGAUUUCCUGAGAUUUCCCCUUUCCUAACAAAGGCGAAUCGUCGAGGAGGAAUUAGCAACCGCACCAAUAUAUUACACUUAAUCAAUAUAAUAUAAAUCAUCAUACAGUACAGUGGAUAGAUGCCUAAAACUUACCGUCCAUCCACCUUUUGCAGGUACUGUCAAAUUUUUUGUUAGUGGGAUUUAAGUACCAAAUAAUGCUAUGUGACA
rnacentral:lncRNA from 1 species